GACAGAGGGUGCAAACGUUGGUCGGAAUUACUGGGAGUAAAGCGGGUGUAGGCGGCUAAGUAAGUCGGGCGUGAAAUCCCACGGCUCAACCGUGGAAGUGCACUCGAAACUGCAUAGCUAGAGUCCUGGAGAGGAAGGUGGAAUGCUUGGUGUAGAGGUGAAAUUCGUAGAUAUCAAGCGGAACACCGGUGGCGAAGGCGGCCUUCUGGACAGUGACUGACGCUGAGACGCGAAAGCGUGGGGAGCAAACAGG
rnacentral:rRNA from 1 species